GAGUACGAUCCCAUCCUCAAUUUGAGGAGGUAUAGCCAACCUGUUCCAUAUCUCUAUGCCUCAAUGCCAAAUGAUAGGUUUUUACCUAAUCAUGAAUAUACCGCUAAUACCAAGCCACAAUGUCACUUUGGGUUAAACUUUGUUUAACUACUUUCUUUAACACUAGGUUCAUGUCCAACCUAUGUUCUUUAACGCUAGAUUAAAUGCCACGCAUGAUUCCAACCUAUGUUCUUUAACACUAGGUUCAAUGCCAUUUGAUAUCCAACCUAUGUAUAUUCACACUAGGUUCAUAUGUCCUUCAUGUCCGACCUAGGUUUACUAACACUAGGUUCAUAUCAUUCAUGUUCAACCUAUGUUCAAGAUACUAGGUUUAAUGCCACUCGAUCUAAUGUAUAUAGAUUGUCCAAACUAGCAUUCUUUACAACUUAUCAUUAUACAUUACACUAGUUUUCCAAUGUCGAGUUCUCUAAUCAACCUAGAGUUAUCGACCCCAAGUUUAACAUGUAAAUGUCAACUAAUAUAAUCCUCUAUAUGUCAACAUGAUAUAUACCACUAGCAUCACAUGAUAUGUCCUUUACUUAGCAUUCUUAUUUUAGCAUCCCUAAAACAUGCUUAUCAUACAUGGACUUAGUAUUUUUAUCAUGUCAUCAUCUAUAUUCUUAGCAUUAACCACAUGCUUGCAUUUAUUAUUUUUAUAUCAUGCUUAUCACACCAUUACUUAGCAUUAUCCACAUGCAUGCUUAUCAUGUAUACUUUAGCAUUAAUCAAUGCAUUCAUCUAGCACUAUUUACAUAUAUCAACAUGAAUUCACUUUGCUUAGACAUACAGGCGACCUAGUCGCUUCGGUAAGCACUACCCACCUCAAGUUGCUUUCCGAUUGCUUGUCGACACUUGCAAUCGGCCUCCCGCGGCACCCGUAACCCGGUUCGGCCCGACUUUGCUAAUACUCACCAACCGUGUGCCGAAUCGAGGCACCGAAAAUUAUAGGUCUUCGGUUAUGUGUCACGGUGCUCCAAAUCCGUUUUCAUGAUUUUACGAUGUCGCCUCGACCCUCCAGGCGGAAACGAAGCCUAAACGUCCGUUUCUUUAAUAACUUCGCGUAGGCUUGACGAAUUGACGAACCGACUUUGCCAACGCGUUCGUUUACCUAGCAAUUUGAUUUACAGAGGGUCAAAUGAGAUCAAACCCUACUAUUUUACAAAACCCCAUUCGGAGUCCUAAUAUGUAAUUAACCUCUAAAUAAUCCAAAUUAAAUGAAGAGAGCAUGUUUAGAAUACUCUAGAUACUACUAGAACAUUAUUCAUG
rnacentral:lncRNA from 1 species